GUGCCAGCAGCCGCGGUAAUACGGAGGAUGCGAGCGUUAUCCGGAUUUAUUGGGUUUAAAGGGUGCGUAGGCGGAUUAAUAAGUCAGUGGUGAAAACCUGCAGCUUAACUGUAGACUUGCCAUUGAUACUGUUAGUCUUGAGUACGGUCAAGGUAGGCGGAAUGUGUAAUGUAGCGGUGAAAUGCUUAGAUAUUACACAGAACACCGAUUGCGAAGGCAGCUUACUGGGCCGCAACUGACGCUGAUGCACGAAAGCGUGGGGAGCGAACAGGAUUAGAAACCCCGGUAGUCC
rnacentral:rRNA from 1 species